GUCGAACGAAGCACUUUAAUCGAUUUCUUCGGAUUGAAAUUUUAGUGACUGCCUUGAGGACGGGUGAGUAACGCGUGGGUAACCUGCCUCACACAGGGGGAUAACAGUUGGAAACGGCUGCUAAUACCGCAUAAGCGCACAGUACCACAUGGUACAGUGUGAAAAACUCCGGUGGUGUGAGAUGGACCCGCGUCUGAUUAGCUAGUUGGCAGGGCAACGGCCUACCAAGGCGACGAUCAGUAGCCGACCUGAGAGGGUGACCGGCCACAUUGGGACUGAGACACGGCCCAAACUCCUACGGGAGGCAGCAGUGGGGAAUAUUGCACAAUGGGGGAAACCCUGAUGCAGCGACGCCGCGUGAGCGAAGAAGCAUUUCGGUAUGUAAAGCUCUAUCAGCAGGGAAGAAGAAAUGACGGUACCUGACUAAGAAGCACCGGCUAAAUACGUGCCAGCAGCCGCGGUAAUACGUAUGGUGCAAGCGUUAUCCGGAUUUACUGGGUGUAAAGGGAGCGCAGGCGGAAGGCUAAGUCUGAUGUGAAAGCCCGGGGCUCAACCCCGGUACUGCAUUGGAAACUGGUCAUCUAGAGUGUCGGAGGGGUAAGUGGAAUUCCUAGUGUAGCGGUGAAAUGCGUAGAUAUUAGGAGGAACACCAGUGGCGAAGGCGGCUUACUGGACGAUAACUGACGCUGAGGCUCGAAAGCGUGGGGAGCAAACAGGAUUAGAUACCCUGGUAGUCCACGCCGUANACGAUGAAUACUAGGUGUCGGAAAGCANAGCUUUU
rnacentral:rRNA from 1 species